CGAGCAGAUUAAGACACGACCAGGAAAUGAGACUACCUCAGAAUCUUUAAGAAAGUCCCUUUCACUAAGUUGUGGCUCUGCUGAAGGUCAAAAUGGGCCAAAGGAUUUCUAUAGAAAGGUAUCCUAGAUACCUCUGUGGUACACUAGUACUCUGGUCCUGAGUUUUCAAGAGGGAAGUGUGUAUUGGUUUUCUUCCAGUAUCGUGGAGCAGAUGAAGCCUGUUGAAAUUUAAUUUUCAGAAAGGUGCUCAGAGCUAUGACUUUGCCUUCAAUCUCAGAGAAUUUGGAUUUGGACUUUUCAGCACUGCUGAAACUGUUAAAACUGGAAACUGUGAUUUAAAAUGUAGGAAGAUUGUUCAGAAAUGUUUGGAGAACAAAAGAACGGGGGAAGAUGAAACAGCAAUAAAUUGAAAUCUAAUUGCAGUGAUUAUAUUAUUAGUAAGGACAAUAUUGUUAUUCUAA